rnacentral:rRNA from 1 species
UGGCCUUGACAUGCAUCUCUAAACCGGUGAAAGCCGGCGAGUCUCGAAAGAGACAAUUUGCACAGGUGCUGCAUGGCUGUCGUCAGCUCGUGUCGUGAGAUGUUGGGUUAAGUCCCGCAACGAGCGCAACCCUUGUGAACUGUUGCCACUCCCUUUGUUGGGAAGCACUCUGUUCAGACUGCCCUGUGAAACGGGGAGGAAGGUGAGGAUGACGUCAAGUCAGUAUGGCCCUUACGGCCAGGGCUGCACACGUACUACAAUGCCCAGUACAGAACGAUCCGAGACCGCGAGGUGGAGGAAAUCUAUCAAAACUGGGCUCAGUUCGGAUUGGAGUCUGCAACUCGACUCCAUGAAGCUGGAAUCGCUAGUAAUGCCGUAUCAGCUACGACGGCGUGAAUACGUUCCCGGGCC